rnacentral:rRNA from 1 species
GUCUACGGCCAUGCUACCCUGAACAAGCCCGAUCCCAUUUAGCUAAGUAGGGUUGGCCUCAUUAGUACUUGAAUGGGAGACCAUCUAGGAAGACCAGGUGCUGUAGGCC